rfam:Schistocephalus solidus strain NST_G2 genome assembly, scaffold: SSLN_scaffold0007568
GGGCCCGUGGCUCAUUGGUAGAGCGUUCGACUCAGUUACCAAAGGUUGUGGGUUCGAAUCCCAGGUGGUCCA